rnacentral:rRNA from 1 species
AUUGAACGCUGGCGGCAUGCCUUACACAUGCAAGUCGAACGGUAACGGGCCUUCGGGUGCCGACGAGUGGCGAACGGGUGAGUAAUGCAUCGGAACGUACCUUUCAGUGGGGGAUAACGUAGCGAAAGUUACGCUAAUACCGCAUAUUCUGUGAGCAGGAAAGCAGGGGAUCGCAAGACCUUGCGCUGAUUGAGCGGCCGAUGUCAGAUUAGCUAGUUGGUGAGGUAAAGGCUCACCAAGGCGACGAUCUGUAGCGGGUCUGAGAGGAUGAUCCGCCACACUGGAACUGAGACACGGUCCAGACUCCUACGGGAGGCAGCAGUGGGGAAUUUUGGACAAUGGGGGCAACCCUGAUCCAGCCAUGCCGCGUGAGUGAAGAAGGCCUGGUUGUAAGA